UCUGGUUUUCGACGAAGGCUUGGAACAGAUCCUUGAACAAAUAUUUGACGAGGCCCAAUUAGUUACCUGUAAUGAUGACUGCGAUGUUAAUAACGGUGAACAUGCUGGUUCUGACGGCCACGUGGUAAUAUUACCUACAGAGGUGGCGCUGCAAGAGGUUGUAGUUAGUUUGGAAUCACGUCACGAGGCCAACAACGUCAUA